rnacentral:rRNA from 1 species
UACGGAGGGUGCAAACGUUACCCGGAUUCACUGGGCGUAAAGAGCGCGUAGGCGGUCUUGCCAGUCGGCGAUUAAAUACCGGUGCUUAACACCGGGACUGUUACCGAUACUACAAGACUAAGAAGAUAGCAGGGGUAAGCGGAACUUUGGGUGUAGGGGUGAAAUCCGUAGAUAUCCAAAGGAACACCAAUGGCGAAGGCAGCUUACUGGGCUAUACUUGACGCUGAGGCGCGAAAGCGUGGGGAGCAAACGGG